CAUUGAGAUUUUUUAUUUUGUUUUAAUUUACUGACUGUGAUACCUUCAAAUGGACCAUAUAUGUUUAUACUGGAUUUACAGUGGGCUACACUUCUGGGUUUUUAAUUUUUCUUUUAAUUGAUCUUGAGUGAUCAAAAACUCACAACAAACCUCUCAGAAAUUAGAAUCAGAAAUCAGUAGAAUACUGAAAACACAGUAUUAUUUCUUAAUGUCUUACCAGUGUGACCUGCUACCCUUGGGAGGAUCUUGCGCAGUGGCCUCCUGGUGACUGUUGGCUCCUUGGGCUUCUUCCGAGGCCGGCCCAUCCUUCUCUUAAAGAAAUCUCUCUCUCUGUCUCCUGAAAAGAAAGCUUUACAGCUUAAAAAGGGCCAGAAGUCAGGAUUGCAUACAGAAGGUUCACCUUGCGUUGUUGCAGUAGCACCCUGGACAAGGUCAGCUCCCCCCUAUUAGAAGAUGGUGGACCAAUGCAACGUCUGCAUUGCCGAGCAGACCCACGCCAUCUUUAACGGCCUCACUCCGACAGGAGCACCAAUCAAAGUCAGGUAUGGGAGGAGCUCCGUAAAUUACAGGCUCCUCCUACAAAAAGGAAAACAAACAAGAUAA
ensembl:lncRNA